CUGGCUAGAUGGCAGCACUAUGAAGAAAGAUCUGCAAGUCUUGGUAGAUCACAGACUCAGUACAAGUCUGCAGUGUAAUGCAGCUGCACUAAAGGCAAAUGCAGUUUUGGGAUGCACUGACAGGAGCAU